AGGCUAUGAAAACAUGCGAAAGUGAAAACACCACAGCGGAAGUGAAAACGUCACAGCGGAAGUGAAACCGUCACAGCGGAAGUGAAAACGUCACAGCGGAAGUGAAAACGUCACAGUGGUACUGUUCUUGCUCCUUGGGAAAUGGUGAAAGAAUGACACGGACCGUCAAUAGAGCCUGUAACGAACACAAGUUUACACCUUCUUCCUUUGAGAGAACCCAUCACUGUGUGAGUCGCUGUGACUCCCACAGCUGCAUCCGUCCUAGCCCAGGAAGAAGAGCAGGACCCGCAGAAUGGAGACCAGAGCUGACUGACAUGUCCCGCUCGAUAUGCUUCCCGCUAUUGGCCUGUCUGCUCAUCUCUGUAGUUUCUCGCGGUGGCGAUUCAACCGCAAAACUGGACAACUCUAUCAGGAAUUAUAAUUUUCUGUGCUACGUUUAACUUUGGCUAGGGAUUUAUUUCCCUUUGAAUCUUUGGGUUGGACAAACAUUUAAUCAUCCCACCGUUCAAAAGUUGUCGUUGCUUAUGUGGCAUAGGCGGGCGUGGCUGCUAUGAUGAGCAAGGAUGGGGUGGAGAGAUGAGAAUGAAAGAGAAGCAGAAUGGUUUGAGCACUGUGAAGAGAGGUAGAGCCAGAGAUGCGAAAUGGUGGGGGACAGCCAGAUGUGAGUAGCCUGAGAUGCCACCUGAGGCCAUGGUGAGGUCCUGGCCAUCCUGCCACCGAGGCCGUGUCUGUGUCUCAGACCUUUUGUCUAUUCGUGAUCCAUGUUACCACCAAAGGCCAUGUGGAUGACCCUGGUCUGGGUUGCUGUCAGGGGCCAUGUUUGAUGCCCAAGGACUGUACAGAGUAGUUGAUCACCUCAUCUCGGCACACAGUAGAGCUGGCCCUGGUGGCAGGGUAUGGGUGAGCUGGCCCUGCCCCUUGUGGUUGAGUGGUGGCAGUGGGCACAGGAGAGAUAACGCCCUCCAUCCCCUGUGGCAGGCUGGAGAGCAGGUUCUGCCCCUCACUAGGGCAGUGAUGGAGAACUGGUCCUGAUGGCUUGGGUGCAGAAAGCUUGUCCUAGCAGGCAGGAGAGCUCACUCACUCCUCACUAGGCAAAGCAGGAGAUCUGACCCUGGCAGUACAGGUCUAGGAGAUCUUGCUGGUAGGCUAAUUCAGUUCCCACCCAGCCCAGAUCCAGAACUUUGAAUUGGACCAUCCCAACGUUCACCCCAUCUAUGAACUGAGAGAGUAUGUGUAGGGGCUGCUGGUCCUGUCAAAUCGAAGCUGCAGGAUCUCCAUGACACAGAGGUGGCUGACUGCCAAACGGGGAGUGGUAGGUAUGUCUUGGACCUCGUGUGUGAUAUAAAACACAGAUUCCAAGGAGAAAUGAGGAGGAGAGCACCUAGUGAGUUUGAAGCAUGGGGACAGAUGUGUGUUUCUAGAACGAGGUGCUACUGUUUUGUAUGGAAGACUCUUCCUGUAGACAUGCGUAAGAGGGACUGAGUGAGUGGGGACAAUACGGAAGCUGGUUUCGUGGGAUAGUCUUUCAUUGUGUAAUUGUGCAGUAUGUACCCUAUGUGUGUGGAGGCAAUUUCUUGAAGUGGAUCAUCAGGGGUAAAGUGGGAGCAACUGACCAUUUAUGGUGAUUUCUGGACGUUGUAUAGAACUUUUGGUACUUUUGACACCUGUAUGUUGGUAGUGCUACAUCUGAACUCAUUCAUCUAUAUAAAAAUCCAAAUUGGGGAAAAAAGAUGAGAAAAUAAUGUUUUUGUUCCACCAAUAGAUGGGACUAAGAAGGCUAAGAGAGUGAGAUUUUAUCUUUAACUCCGUCAAGUUUUUAGCUUCAGUGGUCAUCCACGUACAAGGAUGAUGAAUUACUUUUGGGCAUGGAAAUUUUAUGAUGAAAGUCUCAUUUAAGAAACAAAUUCCCUCUGUCCCUUAGGCUCUCUAUGGGAACUGCUCCUUUAGGUGUACAUCUAAGGUCAAUUCUCUUAACAAUUAUUUGUUUGAGUAGGAAUUUCCCUGAGUGGUCUCCAACUGUAACACUGAACAGUUUACCAAUAAUGACUAUUUAAAACUGUGCCUUCAGUUCAUAAAAGUAUUUUUGAGGAGUUUUUUUUAACUGUACUCACAGUAGAAUAGCACGUCGAACUGGGCCUAGAAGGAAAAGAGUAUUUUGGGAACUACUACUUGAAUUGUGAUGAUUUUUCUGUUUAUUAGCAAUUGAGAAAAUGUGCACGAUUUUAAAUUUGCAACAUUCAGAAGAGCCAGUAAAAGAAUACAAAAUAUUUUGUUUAUGUUGUCUGAAAUAACUUAUAAGUUUCCUACAUUGUUUCUUAUAAAAUUUGGUGUUUCUUUAAUUAAAACACUUUUCUGAGAUAAAAUGAAUAUUUUAAAGGUAUUAGCAAUGCACACAAAACUCAUUCAUUGUAUUUUGUUGGGGCAGGUCUUAUUUAGCUAUUAAUUUUUUGUAAAAAUAAUAUAGAAUAGUUAGGGGAAAUGUAAAGAACAAAUUUAACUCAACCCUUUUUCCUUCCUUGCUUCCUACCUCCCUUCUACUGUAUCUUCUUUCCUUUCUUUCUUCUUUAAAAAAAAAGAUAUUUUAAAAAUUUUAAAAUGGUGUGUGUGUGUGUGUGUGUGUGUGUGUGUGUGUGUGUGUGUGUGUGUUGUUUGUAAUUACCUAUGGAAGCCAGAAGAGGGUACCAGAUUCCCAGGAGCUGGGAUUUGAUGUGCUUGUUGCUUGGGAACUGAACUUGAGUGUAUUUGGCCCUUAAAUGCUGGGGCAUCUCUCCAGGAGACUCCGUCCCACAACCCUUUUUAAGGCUUGAGUAUGGCUGAGAACACAUGUGAGAACCUUUGACCUUCCUCGUGCAUUCUGUGGAUGAGAGGAAGUUUUUCAUUUGAGUAACUUGACCUUUGCUCUUUUAACCAAGAGACCAAAUAAUUGUGAGCACAUUUGAGGAUACCAGAGCCUGUAGUUUGAAGUACAAAGUGAAUCUUAUUUUGUCUGUAGGAAAUGAAUACUACCAUCUCUUCCUCAUUAAUAUUUUAGAUCGUGUGUGUGUGUGUGUGUGUGUGUGUGUGUGUGUGUGUGUGUGUGUGUGUGUGUUUAGAUCAUCGCCGUGGGAAUCAGGUGACUUGGGGCAAGCUCUGACCUAGAUAAUGUCUGAAACUCCUUAGGCAAAGAUUCUCUUUCUGGUUCUUUUUCCUUCUCUAUAAAACAAAGAGGCCAGACUCAUUUCUCUGUGAUUCCUUCCACUUUUCAAAUUCUAGAAAGCCAUAGUUUAUGGUAAUACUGGGUCUCUUCCAAAUACUAUUCUUUAUAUUUGAGUGCCCAUUGUGAUUUAUAGAAUCUUGGGCCUUUUUAGGUGAAGCAAAUUUUGGAUCCCAUUCUGAGAAAUCUGGACAGACAAUGCAGUUUGGCUAGUGGAUUAUGGGUGUAAUCCCAUUACUGAUACGUACAGGAGGAUUUGUUCCGGUCUGUUUCACAGAGUAUGACUGCAAAAAAAAAAAAGUUUUAAACCAAACACCAGGAUUUGAAAUUUAGGUUUAUUUCUGGUUUUAAAAUGUCAGAAUUAGAGGCCUGCUUUCAUACUAAAGGCACGGCAACUUUUCUUCCUUAGUAUUUGCUAUUCUCAAAGACAUAGUUACUGGAAUUUUGAAACGGGUCAAACUGCUUUUAACCUGGCUACUGUUAUUCAAUUUUUAUCAAUUCUUCAUUUUCUGUUAACAGGAAAUCUGUUUCAUGCCUUCAAUAUAUAAAAGGUAGAAAGAUCAUGAAGUAGCCCGAAGCAGAUAAAUAUUGACCCAGUAGAACAUGCGUGCUACCAAGAAUUAGAAUUAAUUUUGUCACGGGACGAGGCCAGAAAUUACAAGGAAAGGAGAUAUGCGAAAACUCCAGAAAGAAACUUCUUGCUUUUAAAUCGUCACGCCUCUCAGCUGCCUCGGCUCCUGUCACUGUUAUUGAUAUGAGGAAUCCAUCAACAUAUUUUGGUGGGUGAUUAAGAAACCUGACCUUUCCUUUUGCAGGUACAAAUAGGUAGUUCUUCAGCGGCUGUAACUGAACGACAAGAUAAUUCUAUCCAUUUAAUAUUGAAGUGAUGUUGACAGCAUCGUUCUUCUCAGGUUGGAAACAGGACAGCGCCUGGGCCUCUUCUGCUUCAGCCUGUUCCGCCAGUGGGUGAUGGAUUUCCCUCUGACUAAUCGCUGUCACAUUAACCCGCAGUAUUUCAUCCUUCAGUGCUGUCAAGAUAAUGACGAUAAUCCAAGUGGCUCAUUGUAGGUGAACUCGGAGCCAGAAGAGGGACACGCUGUCUGGAACCGCAGGCUGUGGACCCCCUAAGCUGUGAGGGCUGAGAACCGAAUUCCGGUCCUCUGCAAGGGCAGCAAGUGCCGUUGCCACAGCCUUUUUGUUUGUUUGUUUGUUUGUUUGUAUGUUUGACUUUUUUAUGAAAAGCAACUCCAUGUACAAAUGAUACCAUCCAAGGUUUUUCUUUCUCUGUAUGGAUCACUUCGUUUGCAUAACGACAUCCAUAAAGCUUAUUUGUUAUACGGCCAACGGCAAGAUCUCAUUCUUUCCAAGGCUGAAUAAUAUUCCACUAUAUUUAAUACAAUGUACUAUUUAUUUAUUCACCAACAGAGUUACAUUGAUGCCAUACCUUGGUCUAUUAUAGAUAACAUUAAAAUGAGAAUUAAAGUG